AGAGUUACAAGAACAGGAGACAUUGCAGCGUCGCUCGUAUGGGAUAGGAAAUCUAUUAUCAGACAUAGGUGGUCAGUUGGGUCUAUGGGUUGGAGUUUCAGUUGUAACACUGGUGGACUUCAGUGAAAGCUUGUCAAUGUUCAUACAAGCUAUUUAUCUACGGCUAAAGGGAAAAAAUCGCAACGGCAGUAUUUUCAUGCUAUCUCGAGCAGAACAUCGUUCAAACAACAGAGAGCAUCAAUUGAAUAGGAAAAAGGACUGUGUUUUGGUUUCACCACAAACCUCAUCUGAUACCAUGUCUCCAACUGUUGAUUCAACUGGCAGUAUAACUAUUCAUACAUCACCGUAUGUAGGCAAACACCGGAAGAAAUAAGAAUUCAACAAAUAGACAAAAUACUAAUUUCUCUUAUAUGACAGUGUUCAUGAAGAAUGAACUCGUGUAAAACAUGAAAAUAAAAGUAUCUGAAGCCAGUCUAAAA